ensembl:misc_RNA Y_RNA Y RNA
GGCUGGUCUGAAGGUAGUGAGUUAUCUCAGUUGAUUGUUCAGUCACUUGCAGAUCAAACUCCUUAUUCUACUCUUUACCCCCUUCUCACUACUGCACUUGACUAUUCGAAA